CUUUGUCUUCCCGUGUCUCUGGAUGUUAUGACAGGUUUCCAGAUGGGCCCCGUUCGUCUAUAAAUAAACUGCUGUUCCCGCCGAAAAAACACCGACUCUUAUGUUUAAUGCAUCUCAUUAGUUUGCAGCGGAUCUGUUCCAAAGACUCUCCAACAAAGAACUGCAGAGGGGAAGACACGUGUGCAACCUGCGUUUGACCCCCGGUGAACAGGUGGGAUCUGGGCUAAAAACUUGUUUUCCUUGAAAGCUCCGACACUGAUCUGAAGAGAGUGAGAUUUCCAGGACCAGUGGCAAAAAAUCUUAAUAACCAUGCUUGCUGUUAAGAUACAUAAUAUUUUUACCUGGGGUCCAGUGCCAGAUGGCUCACUGUCUGCUUUUGGGCCUCGGACCAGUGGUGGGGGACCCCUGGUGUAGAUGUAUUGUACCCCUGGUGCAGACUGAAACCAUCGCUUUUCAGUUACACUGGUGUACAGAUUGGCAUCACUGUACAAAUGAACUGAGCUGAGGUAUAUUACAUUAAUUCGGUGGGAAGUCUGUUCUCUCAUCCAAAUGCCAAUGAGGCAACCGGCCAGUAACAGUGGAUGACCAGGACCCCUCUUCAGCUGCUGGCAAGGUUCUUGAGCAGAAGUGACUAGGAUUGAUUAGUCCAUAACCAUUUAGUAUUUGAGGUCAAAACAAAAUCAAAAGGAUACCCAUGAGGAGAACAUGAAAACUGCAGACACAAAUCUCCACAUGAUUAAG